AACAACAGAAGGAAGCCGAUAGCCUUCUUUUCAAACAAAAAAUUUACAGAGAGAAGUAAUUAGUCUUCCUUUCAAAUGACUUGUUGAAGCGAUUAGUCUCAUUUACAAACAACAACUUGAAGUGGUUUAUAAUUAGAAAAACAACAUAAUUAUGUAGAAAUUUGACAAGAGAAAAAAUAAAAUAAAAUAUGUAGAAAUGAAUAUGUGUGUUUAUAAAGUAACAAAAAUC
rnacentral:lncRNA from 1 species